AUUGAACGCUGGCGGCAUGCCUUACACAUGCAAGUCGAACGGCAGCACGGGGGCAACCCUGGUGGCGAGUGGCGAACGGGUGAGUAAUACAUCGGAACGUGCCCAGUAGUGGGGGAUAGCCCGGCGAAAGCCGGAUUAAUACCGCAUACGACCUACGGGUGAAAGCGGGGGAUCGCAAGACCUCGUGCUACCGGAGCGGCCGAUGUCAGAUUAGGUUGUUGGUGGGGUAAAAGCCUACCAAGCCGACGAUCUGUAGCUGGUCUGAGAGGACGACCAGCCACACUGGGACUGAGACACGGCCCAGACUCCUACGGGAGACAGCAGUGGGGAAUUUUGGACAAUGGGCGCAAGCCUGAUCCAGCCAUGCCGCGUGAGUGAAGAAGGCCU
rnacentral:rRNA from 1 species